rnacentral:rRNA from 1 species
AGCAGCCGCGGUAAUUCCAGCUCCAAUAGCGUAUAUUAAAGUUGUUGCAGUUAAAAAGCUCGUAGUUGAAUUUCGGGGUCUGUCCAUUGGUCGGGCUUCACGGUCCGUACUGGUGUGAUGGGUUCCUACCUUCUGAAUAACCAGCAUGCCAUUUAGUUGGUGCGCCGGGGAAGCAGAGCUAUUACCUUGAAAAAUUAGAGUGCUUAAAGCAGGCUAGUGCUUGAAUAGAUUAGCAUGGAAUAAUAAAAUAGGACGGCAUGGUUCUAUUUUGUUGGUUUCUAGGAUCACCGUAAUGAUUAAUAGGGAUAGUUGGGGGCAUUAGUAUUCAAUUGUCAGAGGUGAAAUUCUUGGAUUUAUUGAAGACUAACUUCUGCGAAAGCAUUUGCCAAGGAUGUUUUCAUUAAUCAAGAACGAAAGUUAGGGGAUCGAAGACGAUCAGAUACCGUCGUAGUCUUAACCAUAAACUAUGCUGACUAGGGAUCGGACGAUGUUAAUUUUUAAUGACUCGUUCGCCG